GGGGGUAUGGCUCAGGGGUAGAGUGUGUGCUUAGCACACACGAGGUCCUGGGUUCAACCCCCAGCACCUUCA
rnacentral:tRNA from 1 species